GAGCUCGUAGGCGGUUUGUCGCGUCUGCUGUGAAAUCUGGGGGCUCAACCCCCAGCCUGCAGUGGGUACGGGCAGACUAGAGUGCGGUAGGGGAGAUUGGAAUUCCUGGUGUAGCGGUGGAAUGCGCAGAUAUCAGGAGGAACACCGAUGGCGAAGGCAGAUCUCUGGGCCGUAACUGACGCUGAGGAGCGAAAGCGUGGGGAGCGAACAGGAUUAGAUACCCUGGUAGUCCACGCCGUAAACGUUGGGAACUAGAUGUGGGGGCCAUUCCACGGUCUCCGUGUCGCAGCUAACGCAUUAAGUUCCCCGCCUGGGGAGUACGGCCGCAAGGCUAAAACUCAAAGGAAUUGACGGGGGCCCGCACAAGCGGCGGAGCAUGCGGAUUAAUUCGAUGCAACGCGAAGAACCUUACCAAGGCUUGACAUAUACCGGAAACGUCCAGAGAUGGUCGCCCCGCAAGGUCGGUAUACAGGUGGUGCAUGGUUGUCGUCAGCUCGUGUCGUGAGAUGUUGGGUUAAGUCCCGCAACGAGCGCAACCCUCGUUCUAUGUUGCCAGCACGUUAUGGUGGGAACUCAUAGGAGACUGCCGGGGUCAACUCGGAGGAAGGUGGGGAUGACGUCAAAUCAUCAUGCCCCUUAUGUCUUGGGCUUCACGCAUGCUACAAUGGCCGGUACAAAGGGCUGCGAUACCGUAAGGUGGAGCGAAUCCCAAAAAGCCGGUCUCAGUUCGGAUUGAGGUCUGCAACUCGACCUCAUGAAGUCGGAGUCGCUAGUAAUCGCAGAUCAGCAACGCUGCGGUGAAUACGUUCCCGGGCCUUGUACACACCGCCCGUCAAGUCAUGAAAGUCGGUAACACCCGAAGCCAGUGGCCUAACCCUUGUGGAUGGAGCUGUCGAAAGGUGGGAUCGGUGAUUAGGACGAAGUCGUA
rnacentral:rRNA from 1 species